GGCGCCUCGGAGCCUCUUUCCCUGAGGCUUCCAGCCGCGACUAGGGACCCGCUCCUCUCGUGACUCUCUGUUUCCGUGCACAUCUCACCCGCGCCGCCUGGAGGGCUUGAGUUUCGAGCCCGGCCGGACCAGGCGGUUUGGGGUGGAAAUUUGCAGCCAAGGGAUGAGCGCUAGACAACCCGCUAACGGUGACAGCUUGGCUGCAGGCUUCCCGGUGGAGAUAGUCGGAAGAGUCCACAUGCGCUGUCUGGUCCCGCUGAAGAGCUUCUAACACCCGUAGCGACCUACAGCUCCGCAGUCAGUGCCAGUGUUUGCUCCUGUCCAAAUUAAGUACGUGCAGGUUUCCAGAGUAGCUGCGUGAAGCCCAGUUCCCCCAGACAUAUGUUCUACAGUAUGGACAGUCCUCCUGCAGGUCAGCGGACUCUGUAAGGCAUGGAAUGCUUCAUUCUUUCUUUUACACUGUGUCUACCAAGGGCAGCUUAUAUAAAGAUAAUAUCUCCUGAGUAUGACCGAUGAGAUAGUAAAAGGAUGGAAAGAGUCUUGGGUGACUUCAGAGUUGAAAAAGUAAAUACAAUUAAAAUUUUAAGUUCAUGCAUACCUAAUGAUAAAUAUAUAAAGUGAAACUUGACCGAAUGACAAAGAAAAAGCUAUAGUCCUAUUAGGUUACUUUAAUAAGCCUUUCUCAGUGAUUUUUAAGACAAACAAAAGAAAAAUCAAUAAGGAUAUAGAAGAUGUGAAUAACAUUAUUAAUAAACUUGACCUCAUACACAGAACAUUACCAAAAUUAGAAUGUACAUUUUUUUGGAACGCAAAGAUGGCAUCAUCCCGCAAUCAACCACAGACUUAGCUGUAAAGCAACCCACAACAAAUUUUAAAGAUUGAAAUCAUUCAGCACAUGUUUUUUGACCAUUAUGCAAUUAAGCUAAAAAUCAAUAAAGAAUUAUAACAAAUCCAUAUAAACCCUUGUCAGAGAAGGAGUCGUAAUGAUAGAAUAUAUGUUGAGCUGAACAAUAAAAUAAUAGCAGUGCCUGUGUGAUGCAGCUAAAACAGGGCUUAGAGGAAAAAUUAUAGUCCAAAAUAUAUAAGAAAGAGGCUAAAAAGUCUUUAGCUUAAAUAUCCAUUUUCAAGAGUCAGAAAAAGGAGAACAAGGUAAAGGAAGUAAAAUGACAGAAAUAAUUAAGAGCAGGAAUGAAUGAAAUGGGAAUCAAAAGUAAUGUGCCAGAGACUGUACUGAUACAGGAGAACCGAUUAGGCAUACCUCUCCCCUACUCCAUGGCCACUAAUCUCAAAUUAGUGGCUUGAAAUUGUCCAUGAUGAUAGUAUUCACUCCAUGGAAAUAAAAAAACAGGCUGGUGUUUUGUUAUCUUUGGAGCCAAUCUACUAGAGAACCACUGCAUACAAUGGAUUAAAAAUCCAAAAGUUGAUUUUUUUUAAGAAAAGAUGAAGACAAUUGAUAAAUAUCUGUUAGUAUUGAAAAAUACAAGGAGAGAUGUUAACCUAUAUUAGUAAUCAAAACUAUAUAUUUCAAAAAAGUUAUGACAUCUUACAAACAAUUCAGUGCAAAUAAAAUUUAGGUAAAUGCACAAAUUUCAAGGAAAACACAACUGGCAGACUCAAGAAUAGAAAAUAUGAACCUUCCAAACCGUAUUUUAAAUCAGUAGUAAAGACUCUUCCCACACAAAUUCCAGGUCCACGGCUCCACGGGUAAGUUCUUCUAACCUUUGAAAUAAUUCUGUCCUUAUGUAUGAGGCCUCCAUAACUUCUGUACUAAUUACAAAAACCCCACACUUACGAAACACCAAACUCUUUGGAACUCAUUAGGUGGAAAAUGUGAUUUAGUGUCAUGAAGUUCUUUAUAGUCAUCAUUUAUAUAUUACUUAGGUGACUAUGUAUGUUUUGCUGCAGAAAUAAUAAUGUAUGAAUAUUGGUUUUUGAGUAGAGCUGCUCUUCCAGUUCUUGUUGAGAGUGUUACAAAAAUAUACUGUAUGUGUUCCAUUGUGCCUUCCCAAUGUCUGAAAAAGUCUGUAUUCCAAAACACAUCUGGCUGCAAGAAUUUCAUAUAAAAUGCGUCGACCUACAGAAGAAUCUUUUUAAGACUUUGGGGUCAAGAACAAUUUUUUUUUUUUUUAGCCAUAAAGGAAAUGAUCAAUGAAUCCAACUACAUUAAAAUUUUUGUUUUACCAAAUAAAAUUUUUGUUUACCAAAACAAAAUACUUUUGUUUACCAAACAAUACCAUAAGGUGAGGAGAAAAGACAAAACCACAAUGUGGGAGAAGUUUGUAAAACAAAGAAUUGGUACCCAGAAUAUAUAAAGAACACUUAGGAAUCAAUAAGAACAGGACAAUGUAGUUUUUUAAAUAAGCAAAAGGCUUAAAUAGGCACAGCACCAAAGAGGAGAUACAAAUGAGCAGUGUAAGAAAAUAUCUACGUCCUUGUUAGGAACCACGAACAUGAGCCAGCAGAUCCCAAUGCAACACCAUUAGACACGAACGAGACCCAAGAAUAAUUAUAAAAAAUCUGUCAGUAACAAGUUUGAGAAGGAUAAAGCAAGAAGCUUCCUCACACACAGAAGAUAGUAUAAGUUGAUACAAUCACUUUGGAUUAUCACUUUGUGGCAUUAUCUAGUAAAGUUAACCAUACAACACAUUCAGGAUGACUCAGGAAUUCUACUCUACAGCAUCACUUAGCCAUGUGCGUCUUUGUUAUAGUUAAAAACAACAUACCACUUAAACUUACACCAACAAUAGAAUGAAUAAAUUAUGGCAUGGUCACAUGAGGAAAUAGGUUGCAGCAAUGAAAGGAGUAUUUAUAGCUAUCCACAAUAACAUGAUGUAUCCUGUAUUAAAUAAAAGAAGUAAGUCAACCAAAGAAUAGAUACAUGGCAAAACUCAGCUGUCCUGUUUAGGAUACAUUCCUCCAUAGUAUUAACAAAAGAAAAAUGGGAUGUGAUCAGGGAGAGGUGAAUAGGGACCUUCUGAGUUGUUGAUAAAAUUUUAUUUCUGGACUUUGAUGUUAAACAAUUAUUCUGUAAAUAAACUGUACAAGAA